rnacentral:lncRNA from 11 species
AGAACAUUCAGCAGAAAAUGCUUGAAGUAGCUAGCCACUCAUGAGACUAAUCCAAGGCUUUUCCACCCACACAUUUGUUGGCUCCAUGUUUUAAGGCCACCUUCCUUAAGGGAAUUCCUCUUGCUGUUCACCAAUCAUUUGGAAAUCAGACUGUAGCAAUUCAUUCCCUACAUGGAAGAGUUAGAAGAUUGCCUCCUAUUCAGGGAUUAGGCUCAAGUCUUUCAAAUAUGUUACACAAUUGUUACCUUGUUCUUUGGAAAUACAAGAGUUGCAAUCCAACACAUCUGGAAGGCACUGGGUUGAGAAGGCUGUUCCAGAGAAGCUUCUUAUCUGCAGCGCCACAAUUUCUCAGAGGACUGGUCUUCAAAAGAAGACGAAAAGAAUCAUUAAUGUCUAAUAAUUAUAAAAGAGGAUGGAAGCAAGCAUAUAUGUCAAGGAAGGAAGAGUGUUCAGAUAGUUUUGUACCUUUUGGAAACAAGCUCCACAGUUAUGUGGCAAUAACACAUCAGCAACAUGGCACUUUUGCACUAUAUACUUCUAAGAAAAAGGUUUUUAAAAUUCAAAGUGGAAAAAUUCAGAUAGCUGGUCACUCCAGUCUUCAGUAACCUUUGUAAGUACCUUAUUAUAGUGCAGAUCCAAGAAAUUGCUACAACUGCCUCUCUACCUGAAUAGAAUGAGUAGACACAAAGGCCACAACAAUAAGAUGAACUGAAGAACCUAUAGUAUAUAAGCCCAUGCUUCUUUAAAUCAACAUGGAAGUGCCUGUGUAUAUUUUUGUGAACAUUUUACUGCUUUCUUUUCAAAGAACUGACCGAUGUUGAUCUAUGAACACUGAACUUCAAUAAGCUGUGGGUGCUACUAGCAACGUGUCUAAAGGUAAAACAUCCUAGUAAGGAGAAAAGAGCUGUGUUCUUUCCAAGAUGAUAUUUGCUUAGUCAAUAUUUAUUGUUAGCUAUCAUAGAAUAAAAGAAGGCAAAAUGAUAACUCCGGUAUAAAACAUUCUAGAUUCGAUAACAAGUUUUAAAACGUCUUAGACACGUACCUACAUACCUACCUUUUAUUCUUAUUUUCUUGUAAUUCAGCACAGUGGAAGAAUAUAUUCUCAUUAUUUAAAAAAAUGUGAACAAAAAAAAUGGUAAACAUUAUUAAGAAAUUUAUUUCUCUCCAACCUGUUCAAUGAAUACCAAAAAUAGUUGAAAGCUCGAUCCUAUUCAUGUCUAUAUUAUCAUCAAGUCAUAUAGUAUUGUCACUAUACAUGGCACUUUACAAUUAAAAGAACAACAAAACCCUUCUCUGCCGCCAGGGUUAUAAUCUAAAUAAGAUAUGAUUCAUAAGGAAAAGGGAAUGGCAGUGUUGGAGGGGCUCCCUUCAAAGCCACUUUUCAAUGGAAGACCUUUAACUCUUUUUUAAAAGCCAAUUUUAACCUUUGCUUUUUGUGUUCUAUUACAGCAAAAGCUUUUAAAAAAGAAUUUUAAUUACCAAAACCAAUAAAAC